CGGCGUGGGGACGGUGCUUCCCUUCACCUUUCCUCGGCUGGCCGCGGCGGGACCGAGCCCCGCUGACCCGGGCAGGAGCUUUUGGAAGGAGGGAAGAUAGAAGCCCUGCCCGGAGGUGUGCCCGCAGCGGCGGCCUCCCCGUAGUGCCCGGGGCGGGGGGCAUUGAUCGCCAGCUGCCCUCUAACAAUUCGGUGAGAUUUAUGUAAACGCACCACGUAGUUUGAGAGGAGUUGGCCUGUGCCGCCGUUAAGAGUUGAGGUUUAACACCGUCUGCACCUGUAGCAUGCCUGAUGGCUUAGGAGGUGUAUGGGGACAUGGAUGUACCGAACUUUCCACUUCUGUGGUGUUUUGUGUUGGGUUUUGUAUUUUUAAGCCCCCUUUUCGGUCACAAGGCCGUAGUGGGGUUGGCGGAGCUGGGCCGCGGCCGGUGCUUGCCCUGCCUCCCUGCGGGUGCUCCCAGCGCCUCCCGUCCCCGCCGGGCUGCUGUUGGCCGGACUUAGGAUCACGAAAUACGGGCUGGGUGAAAAAAGAGCUUCAACGGAAUAAAAUGCAACGUUCAGAUUCUUCUCUUCACCCCUCCCCCCCUUUAUCCCCCCCCCCUCCCCGUCCCCGCAUUUAAUUAUAUCCAUACGCUGGCUCUUCAUUUGGGAAGCAUUGGAGCCGUUGCCAUUCCCCUGAAUUUUAAUUCAGUGGCAUUUAAUUCAUUACACUCUGUGAGGGUGUGAUGAUUUUUGCCAGUAGUAAAAACAAAGGGAAAACAGCAAACCAGAAUGUUUUAAGCAUGCUGGUGGGAUGUGAGACCUUAAAGAGCCUCUGCUGUCUUCCCUCCCGCCACUUUUUUUUUGGUACAGUAAUAACAGUGCAUACUGCAAAGAUAAGAUACUGUGUGUGCAGUAUAUCUACUGCCUUGUAUGCUCUUGGGUGUGUGGGAUUGUGCUCCUUAAUACAAAGGAAAAAAAAAAGGUUAAAAAUGAAAUUGUAACUUUCAACAGAUGCAUUUGAGUAUUUAGUCCUCUGUAUGAAAAACAGCAGAAUGCUUCUUUCCUGAUUGUAUUGUUUUAAACUUUUUUUAUAUUACAAAUGCCUGUAUUUAGGUUCAUAAACAUUAUCUAUGGCUACCAUACCCUGAAAUGCAAAAUUAUUUGAAUUUGGUAUGCAUUUAUUUCUGUUCAUUAUCACAAGAUCAUCUAUAUUUAUAGAGGAAUAGAAAUUUAUAUAUAUUAAAUACCAUAUUUUUAAUUUCUCUGAAAUAAAUUGAGGUUUUGUAAAAAACUGUCUUGUCACUUUACGUAUUCCUCUGACUAACUCACAUCCUCUGUGAAAUCAGUGUAUAUAUUACAGGAUGUGUGGGAUUCCUUUUUUCUUAUGUUGAGUUCACAGUAACAAGCUGGAAUUCAGUGUAGGAAUUCAUUGUGCAUUUGGGUUUUUAUCUCUGGGCCGGUCUAGAUUAAUCCUUCAAAAGAAGUAAUGUAAACUGUUCAAGAUCUCUGACAGGGUAUGGUCAGUGGUGUGAAAUCCAAGAAGAGAUCUGCUAUAUGGCAGAAGAAAGAAGCUUGCCAGUUCUUUUUCUUUUUUUAUCUUUUUGUUAAAGAAAAGGGUUCUCCCAACUUAGCCUUUCUUCUCGCGUUCAUGUUAAAAUGAAAUAAAAAAAGGAUUUACUUGCUGCUCAAAAUGACACUUAGACUAUGUUGUAAUAUUGUCAGAGUAUUUUAAUGAGUAAAAUAGUUUGGUUUCUCUGAAUUUGGAAUGUUUGGUUAAUCCAGAGUUAAAUGGUAUGUUCAUGGAAACAUUUCAGCUUUAUGGGAAGUACACACAUUCUUAAAGCUUUCAGCACAACAUGUCUUUUCUUUUUUUUUUUUUUCUCCUCCUUUUUAUUUUUCUUCCCCCUGAUGCAUUGUUUCAAGUGCCAUUCUGCAAGCAUGGCUUUGUUGGGAAAGACUGGCUAAUUAUGAGGCUUGAUUUCUGUUUUCUAGUGUUACAGGCUAAUGCAGUGUUUCACUCUAGAUCUAGAGGGAGAUGUAAAUGUUUUUGGCUCAUUUACUUUUUUCAAAUCGUGAUGCAUAAACAGCCACAGAAAAAUGAGGGAAGGUCAACAAAAUUAAUGAGUGCUACAUGGCCUCAGAAGGAGCUUGGGCUUCCAAAACUCAUGACAGCUGAAGAGGUGACAGGUAAGUGCGGGAACGAGGCUGCAGAAGCAGACUGCUGGAUUUCUGUAACCAAGCUUGCUAAGGACAGCUCAAACAUCUGCCGGGAAAGGGUGAGCAUCGGCAGCCUUGCUUUGGAGCUGAGAGCUGGACCAGACCACCUCUCCCUGUCCCUUGUUGUACUGCAGUAGUGAGACUCCAGCGAUCACACCUAUGCUUGCAAGUAGGAUAAUUCAAUUGAUGCUGCUCCCUGAAAUUCCCAUGUCCACUUCUGCAUUCCUCACUUCAUCCCUAACCUUAGAAUGCCUGCUGUAAUUAACUGCCUGCCAAUGACAUAUUUUGCGUUAGAAAAGGCACUCUUGAUAGUGAGAAAAGUGGU